AGAUCAAUAAAAGUCUCAUCUGGAAGGGCUGCCUAGCUUAAAGGAUCAGUGGUGAUUUGUGGAGAUUUGAAGGGAUCCACAAUAAAUAAUAACCUAAGACAAUGUCAGCCUGCUGUGCCUUAUGUAAAAGGAAUCGUGAUGUAUUUUUAUUUGUAAGGAACUGCACAUCUUCUUUGCCUACCAGGAGCCUUUCUCUAUAUGUCGCAUUGAGAUCAUCUUCUCUCAGGAUUGACACCUUCCAGAAUAGCUCCUAGAUGUGCUGAUUACUCUCUGGGUUUAUCCACAAAGACUUGUUUCAUGUCCUCUCUUUUCUUGCUCUUGAAAAUGAAGAAUGCCUCCUUUACCUAUUCCUCGGACUUCUCCACGUGGUCUCUGAAGAUUACCUUGUCUUUGAGUCUGGGUUGGUCUGAGUGAGAUGCCUCCUGAGGGGACUAGAUCUGACCCAGAGGAAAGACAAACAGACCACAUCCAGGAGUAACAUGCUGUUGACAACUAUGGCAGCAGAAAGGACAUGAACGUCAAGGCUGGAGAAGGUAGAUGCUGGCAGUAGCUGCAAGGAGUUGGUAUUUGUCAGGGCUCCCUGAGAAAGCAGAGCCUGAUGUAAAAAUGUGAGUUUGCAAGAUUUGCUGAGGGAAAUGUCCUUCAGGAAAACCCUUUAAGAGUGAUGGGAAAAGGAACCGCAUGGAGAAAGAGCCAAACAAGCUUGUGACCUGCGAUAAAGUCACAAAGUGUAAAUCACAAGACUGAGGGCUUGGGUUGUGAAUUUUCAUAUCACUCAUUCAUGCCCACUGGUUGCCCCUGUGUUUGGAGGCAGGACAUCACCUCCAGCUUUAAGCCAGUUUUCUGUUGGUUGAGGUCAGUUCGCCACAGAGGGGAGGCAGCUGGAGGUCAUCAGCAGCCCAUAUUCACAUGGCUGAAGGAUGGGAGCAGUCGCUGGCCUCAGGGAUCAAGUACCUUCCCAGAUGCAGUUUCACAUGAGAAGCUGACAUCCUCUGGUGAGGGCCUUGAACGUCCCUGACUACACCCUCAUUAUUACAAUGAAGCAACUUAUGGGACUGUGUUGAGCUCAGUACUAGGACUCAGAGCUUUCCCUCUUUCGCUCCAUCCAUCCCCAAAAGGAUAUUUACAGAGAUUUUUCAAGCUGUCCCAACAGUGUGCUGUCUAGAACAGAACUCUCUGCUCAGUUCCAUCACUGUGAAUUUUACUAAACGUUUAGAGCCAUGGAUCCACCAUCACAAUCAGCAUACAGAAACAACUAAAAGUGGUGUCACUGAAUCAUAUG